rnacentral:lncRNA from 1 species
UUCCUAUAAAUUACAUAUACUAAAAGGGGAGAGAUAGAUUAACGUCAAACGUGACAAGGUCCAAUUAAAACGUAAUUAAAACAUAUUCCCAAGGUUCAAACAAUUUGAUUUUAGCGCCUUAUCAUAUAGCUCAAUUAUCGUUUAAGGCAUAAGUCCAAAGUCAUCCAUUUCAUAACUACUUAAACACAUUUAAAUAAUCAUUAGGGAAUGCAACAUAAACAUUUAGAUUUAGUGCAUAUGGGCAUAAUAGUAUUAUGAGUUUAAACAACUAACAAAAUUAAAAUCAAAUAUUUUAACUUUCUAGUUAGUAGGGGCCUAAAUGUAAAUAUGAAAAGUUAGGGGUAAAACCGUAAAUAUUUCAAAGUAAAUAUCAACUUUUCAAAGAUUACAAAAUAGCCCCACAAGUGGAUAAAUCCACUAGGGAGGCCGGCCACAUUAAGGGGAUGGGAGGUCUCUUACACAAUCUUACACAACAUGCAUUAAAAGCCACAUUAUGUAAGAAAAAUUAAAUUUUGCUUGUCACUUGGUUUUGCCAUUAAAACUUAGGUGAGAUGAGUGAUGGAAAUCCUCCUAGUCAAGUCUAGGGUUUUAUAAGUUUUAAUAUGGUUAUGGAUGGUAAGAACAUCAUCCAAAACCAUAAAACCAUGCAUGAAAACCAAUUAAAACCAUUUUCACCCAAAACCAAACCAUGAACACAAUUUCAAGAUUUGUACAUUCUUGGUGAUUUUUCAAACCCAAAAAUAAAAGUGACAAGAACACUUCUUUCAAGCUUUAAAAGGAUGUGUGAGUGGUUUACAAUAAAACACAAACACAACCCAAAACCACCCCCAAAACCGUGCCAACCUUUUUGAACAAAACCCCAAAUUUGUUCAUGACUUAUUCUUCAUUUAUGCAUACAAAACAACUUUUACAUGCAUAUCUUUUUCAACUCUUGAUUUACAUUUUUCAACCAUUGAAAAACAAAAGACAAACAUACUUUUAAAUGAAGAAAUAAUAUGUCAAACUAGUCUUAAACUCAUUUUUCAUUCAUGCAUACAAAACACUUUUGCAAACAUAUCUUUCUCAACUUUUGACUAACAUUUUUCAACUAUUGAAAAACAAAAGACAAACAUACUUUGAAUGAAACAAUAAAUAUGUCAUGCAUAAUAUUAAUACCCAUAUGCAUAAAAUCCAAAAGGACACAUUAAUAUAUAAACCAUUGGCUCUGAUACCACUUGAAGGGAAAUUUAUGAGAUUUCUAGAAUGGGAUUUCAUAAUGACUAUCAAGCAUAUUCAAAUCAAAUUAAAUAUACGAAAGCAGCGGAAGCAUUUAAAACAUAUUAUCAAAGCUAUAGUCAUGCAAAUCCCCUUCAAGCUUCAUAGGUUUAUAUAUAAUGCAUCAAAACAUUUUAAAGAAUUAAGAACAAAGUGAAGGUUAGUCUUAUACCUCUUGAUCUAGACUUGAGACCAAGGAUGGACCACCUCCAAGCCCUUUGCUCCUUGAAAUCCUUGAGCCUAGCUUCCCUCCUUGCCUCCUCCACUUUGUUACAAUGAAUGCUCCUAGGUUCUCUUCAAGUUCCCAAAGUAGGAAACCUCUAAAGAUCCUCACCCACUAGUGUAGUGAGAAGGAUGAAGGAAUAACCAAAAGGGUGUAAGAGAUGUUAGUAAAAACCCCCUUUGGUGGCCGGCCUUUGUGUAGUUUAGAGAGCUAUUUUUCUUUUGCCUCUUUGUUGUUUUUAACACACAAAAACCCUUAUGAACAAUAUCUUAUAAAGUUGCUUAUAUAGACAAAAAGAAAACCUAGUCAACACUUGACUAAAUAUCUCUCCA